rnacentral:tRNA from 1 species
GGAGGGGUGUCCGAGUGGCUUAAGGAGGCGGUCUUGAAAACCGCUGGGCUCAAUUACGGGUCCCGUGGGUUCAAAUCCCACUCCCUCCG